rnacentral:piRNA from 1 species
UGUCUACGUUCAGAACCGCGACGAGUGU